UAGGGGACUUGGACACAAGUGGGGUCAUGUAGCUAUAAAGCUCUCUUAUCAAGUUCAUAUGCUCCUUGUCUGCCUCAGCCCCUUCGUCAUGCCAACUCACUGAAUACUGGAUCUUGAAUAUGUUCCCAGCGCGAUGUGGGAAGGCGGUUUCAGAUGCGGGGAUUUCACUCAUUCGCCCUCCGUAUGAAUUGAACACCAUCCCUGGUUUGCCUAAUUCAAUAAUCUGUUAAAUUCCGUCUAGUUAAAAUUCAACCAAGAUGAAUACCCUAAUUUCAUAUAUACUAGAAUAGUCUUGUUAAAAUCAACCAAGAUGAAUACCCUAAUUUCAUAUAUACUGGAAUAGUUAACAAGGUAAAUACCCUAAUUUCAUAUAUACUAGAAUAUUUAACAAGGUGAAUACCUUAAUUUCAUAUAUGCUGGAAUCUCCUGAUUAAAAACAAUGAGUAGAAAAAUAAUAGCGGAAGCAUACCUGAAUCCAUUGAAGAAGAAACCUUAUAGGAAGAAAACCCUUUGAGAUGGUCUUCCAAUUCUAGCCACUAGAUUCUGUGUCAAUUUCUCUCUGAGAGGAUUUUCAGAAAUUGGAAUGCGUAGUCGUAGAAUGGGGACCAUAACCCAAUUUAUAAACCGCUAGGGCAGUUUUAAUUUUAUCACAAUUAUAUUUCUGCCCCUCAUAGAAAUGAUAAUUGUCUAAUGGUAUCUACACAAUAAUCUCAUGACAAUUAUACCCUUAAGCCAAUUAAUCAAUUAUUAAUUAGAUCACUAUAUUUAGGCUUAAUUAAAUGAUAGCACACACAUUUUAAUUAUUUACAUGUGUGACCCAAAUUAUAGAUUAAUUACAAAAAUUAAUCUAACAAUCUCCCACUGGGCCACAUGCAUAUGUAAUCAAAUAAAUGUGCUUAACCUUAUGAGCUCAAAAUUUGCUAUCAUGUCCUUAGGGUAUAUCCGAACAAUCUCGUCCAUUACCUAUACUGACAUAGGAUCAAGGUGGCCUUUGUUACAUCAAUCGUUACUAGACCAAUCAAUGGUCACAUAUAUCUGCACAGCUAAAUGACAUAGAUCAAUCAUGAGUGCAUAGCAUGGAAAUUACAUGCAAUGUGAUCUAUUCAUGCCUAUUUCCAACUGGUCCAACUUAACUUUAUUGAGAUAAAAUCUUUAGCAUAAUUUAACAGAGUGCAAUAAAAUGAAUACUUUAUUUCUGCAGAACACAAUCCAAAUGUAUAGAUAAAGUCUAAACAUAACAUAGAGCAAUAUACAAUGAAUAAUACAAACUCCCACUAAAUUUGGAUAUCCUCAAAUGAGACAACACCUAUAUGAGCAGUGUGCUCAUGAAAGACCUUGGGUGGUAAUCCCUUUGUAAGCGGAUCCGCUAUCAUGGAGUUUGUUCCAAUAUGCUCUAUGGAUAUCUGUCCACUCUGUACUUUUUCUUUUACAACUAGGAACUUGAUAUCAAUGUAUUUUGAUUUUGUAGAACUCCUGUUAUUAUUAGAAUAUAAAACUGCUGAUUUAUUGUCACAAAAUAUCUUCAGUGGUCUUUCAAUACUAUCCAGAACAUGCAGCCCAGUGACAAAAUUUCGUAGCCAUAUUCCUUGAUUGGAUGCCUCAUAACAUGCUACAAACUCUGCUUCCAUGGUGGAUGAAGUUACGAGUGUCUGUUUGGCAGACCUCCAUGAAAUUGCUCCACCAGCCAACAGAUAAAUAUAGCCUGAUGUGGAUCUUUUGCUGUCUUGGCAUCCAGCAAAGUCGGAGUCGGAAUACCCAAUCAACUCUAACUGAUCCAAUCUCCUAUAUGUAAGCAUGUACUCUUUUGUUCUCUGUAAAUAUCUCAUAACCCUCUUGGCUGCUCUCCAAUGAUCCAUUCCAGGGUUACUUAGAUAUCUGCCUAACAUGCCAACAAUGUACGCAAUAUCCGGACGUGUACAUACCUGAGCAUACAUUAGACUCCCCACAGCCGAAGCGUAAGGAAUCUUCUGCAUUUCUUGACUUUCUAAACUAUUUUUAGGGCAUUGAUUAAGACUGAAUUUGUCUCCUUUAGCGACAGGGGUAUCACCUGGUUUGCUAUUUUGCAUGCCAUACCUUUGGAGGACUUUAUCAAUAUAAGUCCUUUGUGACAAUCCUAAAAUACCCCUAGAACGAUCUCGGUGUAUCUGGAUUCCUAAGACAAAGGAGGCAUCACCAAGAUCUUUCAUCUCAAAAUGUUUUGAUAAAAAUCUCUUGGUGUCGUGCAAUAUGCUAAUAUCAUUUGUGGCUAGUAACAUGUCAUCGACAUAUAAAACCAGGAAAAUAUACUUACUCCCACUGAAUUUGUGAUACACACAUUCAUCCAUAAGAUUUGCCUCAAAACCAUAUGAGACAAUAAUUUGAUGAAACUUGAAGUACCACUGACGAGAAGCUUGCUUGAGCCCAUAAAUGGAUUUAGUUAAUUUACAAACCAUAUUCUUUGAGUCUUCGGACACAAAAUUUUCUGGUUGUACCAUAUAAAUUGUUUCAUCAAUGUCACCAUUGAGAAACACUGUUUUAACAUCCAUUUGAUGUAACUCAAGAUCAUAAUGUGCAACUAGUGCCAUGAUUAUCCUGAAAGAGUCCUUCAUAGAAACUGGAGAGAAGGUCUCUUUGAAGUCAAUUCCUUCUUUUUGAGUAAAGCCUUUAGCUACAAGACGUGCUUUAUAUCUUUCUACAUUACCAUUUGAAUCCCGCUUGGUUUUAAAUAUCCAUUUACAACCAAUGGGCUUCGUACCAACUGGUAAUGGGACAAGUUCCCAAACUUUAUUGUCUUGCAUAGAUUUGUACUCUUCAUUCAUGGCUUCAAUCCAUUUCUGAGAGUUGGAACUUUUCAUGGCUUGCUGGAAGUUGAUUGGAUCAUCUUCCAUCAUUCCACUUUCUACCUCACGUUCCUGGAGAUAUACGAUAUAAUCGUCCGAAAUUGCAUUUCUCCUCUCUCUAGUGGAUCUCCUUAAUGGCAUAUUUUCUUGAGGUUGUUGAGUUUGUUCUUCAGGAGCAAUGCCCUCAUUUGCAAUUAAGGGUUGAACAAUAUUGUCUGUUGGUUGAGGAUCCAAAUUUACUUCUUGAUCAAUGAUAGGUAGUGAAACCUGUACAUUAUCAAAAGCAAUAGUAGAUCCCUCUUCCUCCUCAAAGACAAUAUUCCUAGCCUGAUUUCUCCCCCCAAACUCAACAUCCUAAAAAAAUGUUGCAGUUCCCGUCUAAAAAAUUGACCUAAUAGCAGGAUCAUAAAAUUUAAAACCCCUUGAUUGCUCUGCAUAGCCAAUAAAGUAGCUGCUAACUGUUUUAGAGUCCAAUUUCUUUUCAUAAGGCUUAUAAGGUCUCACUUCAGCUAGACAUCCCCAAAUAUGAAAAUGCUUUAAACUGGGCUUUCGACCUGUCCAAAGCUCAUAAGGCGUUUUAGCAGCCGCUUUAGUUGGCACCCGAUUUAGGAUAUAAGCUACCGUUUUGAGUGCUUCACCCCAGAGUUUUUCGGGUAAAGUAGAAUGACUAAUCAUACUCCUUACCAUGUUCUUAAGGGUUCGGUUUCGUCUUUCUGCUACACCAUUCAUGCUAGGUGAUCCUGGCAUGGUGUAUUGAGGGACGAUCCCACAUUCCUCUAGGUAUUUAGCAAAUGUUCUUGGAUGUUGUUCACCUGAUCCGUCAUAUCUACCAUAGUAUUCACCACCACGGUCAGAUCUGACGCUCUUUAUUCUUUUGUUGAGUUGUAACUCAACUUCUGCUUUAAAUGUUUUGAACACGUCCAAUGAUUGUGAUUUCUCAUGUAUAAGAAAUAGGUAGCCAUAUCUUGAGUAGUCGUCUAUGAAUGUUAUAAAGUACUGUUGACCAUUCCAAGAUGCCGUAGGGUAUGGUCCACAGAUAUCUGUAUGAAUUAAUUCUAAGACGUCUGUAGCUCUAUUGGCACCUAAUUUCUUUGUUUUGGUCUGUUUUCCUUUAAUACACUCAACACAAAUAUCAAAAUCUGAAAAGUCAAGUGAAUCCAAAAUCCCAUCGGACACAAGUCGCUCAACUCUAGAUUUAGAGAUAUGACCUAGGCGUUUGUGCCACAAUGAGGCCGAAUUAUCUUUAUUCAAUUUACGUUUUGUACCUCGUGAUUCCACAUGCAAGGUUUCAUUAUAGGAUGGAACAGUUUCCAACAAAUAUAGAUUAUCAUAAACAUUAAGUAAACCGGUUCCUACAGCAUUUGAAUUAAUAGAUAAUGUAAAUUUAUUGUUUCCAAAUGAACAACAAUAACCUGAUUUGUCCAAAACAGAAACUGAAAUUAAAUUCCGUCUGAAAGACGGUACAAUAAAAGUAUCUAUUAAAUCCAAAAAAUAACCAAAUUUCAAUAAUAAUCUAAAGUGCCCUAUUGCCUCUACUUCUACCGACUGACCGUCUCCGACAUAGAUGCAUCUUUCAGCAUCACUUGGUUUUCGGUAACUCAGGCAACCCUGCAUAGAAACACAAAUGUGAGUAGUAGCACCAGAAUCUAACCACCAUGUGUUUCUAGAUACUGAAGCUAAAUUAACUUCAGAACAGACCAAAGUAAGAAACAUACCUUUCUUAACACGCCAAGCAGCAUACUUGGUACAUUCCUUCUUAGUAUGUCCAGGCUUAUUACAGAAGAAACAUGUUACCUCAACUUUCUGUUUCUUUUGUUCUGGACCAUUAGAAGCAGCAACCUUAUUAUCCUUAUUCUUUCGUUUGCCCUUAUCCUUCGAAGUGCUAGCCAAAUGAGCACUUUCGGUCUUGUCUUGCUUCAAUCUCUCUUCCUCUUGCACACAGAAUGAAAUGAGCUCAUUAAGAGUCCAUUUAUCCUUUUGACAGUUAUAACUGACCUUGAAUUGAUUAAAUUGUGCAGGAAGAGAGAUGAGAACCAAAUGCACGAGUAAAUCAUCAGAUAACUCGAGUUUCAAAGCCUUAAGUUUUGAAGCAAGAUGAGACAUCUCCAUGAUGUACUCCCGAACAUUACCCUUGCCUUUAUACUUCAUUGAAAUCAAGCUUGCUAAAAGCGUACUCGUUUCAGUCUUAUCGUUUUUGGCAAAACGUUUCUGAAUUUCCGCAAGGAAGUCACUGGCAUUAGUAACCUCAUCGGUUACCGCACCCCUGAAAGCUUCUGGAAUGCCGCGCUUCAUGAUCAUAAGACUUAGCCUAUUUGAACGUUCCCACUUACCCCAAUAAACCUCAUCCUCUUGAGUACUUUGCUCAUUGAGUUCAUCGGGUUUGGGCAUUCUCAAGGCCAAGUUUAUAUCCAUGCAGCCUAAGAGAAUCAUCAUAUUCUCUUUCCAGUCCUUAAAAUUAGUCCCAUUUAACAUAGGGACAUUAUUGAUGUUGGCAAAUAUAGAAGUAGUUGAUAUAAAAGCUGAAUCCAGAACAAAAUAAAAUGAAUCAAAUAAACCAUCAUGCUCACAUAAAAUAAGCAAUUAAACACAUAAUCUUUAAAUUUAAAAGCAAAUUAUGACAUUUCAAGAUACCUAGCACAACAUUAAUAUCAAGUCUUUGGACAGUAAUAUUAACUGUAAGUGGUACUCUUGUUGUAGUGAUCAAACAUUGAUGAUAAGUUAUGUCAAAUAAUAAAUCUAUCUUUGGAUUGAUUUAUUAUUCACAUUAAGUUACCUUUAUAAUCAUCACAUAUUUAUCACCACAAGUAUGUAUGCAAUUUGACCAAAUAUUAACUUUCCUUUGGGCCAGUCAAUACCCGCAUGAAUCACAUACACACAAAUAUCUAACACCUCGAACAGACUAAUCUACACGGAAGAUGUCACUUUGGUGAUUUUCCGCUUUAAUUAGCCUAUUUAAAAUGCUAGAUCAAUAACUUAAAUAUUAAUAUCAUAAAAUGCUAUUAAAUAAUAAUAAUAAUAAUAAUAAUAAUAAUAAUAAUAAUAAUAAUAAUAAAUUUUAUCAACUCAAUAUUUCAUAAAUCUUAAUCCAUUGACAUAUAUUAAAAUAAUAACUCAAAGAAUUAAUCAAGGAGUAGGCUCUGAUACCACUUGUUAAAUUCCGUCUAGUUAAAAUUCAACCAAGAUGAAUACCCUAAUUUCAUAUAUAUUAGAAUAGUCUUGUUAAAAUCAACCAAGAUGAAUACCCUAAUUUCAUAUAUACUGGAAUAGUUAACAAGGUAAAUACCCUAAUUUCAUAUAUACUAGAAUAUUUAACAAGGUGAAUACCUUAAUUUCAUAUAUGCUGGAAUCUCCUUAUUAAAAACAAUGAGUAGAAAAAUAAUAGCGGAAGCAUACCUGAAUCCAUUGAAGAAGAAACCUUAUAGGAAGAAAACCCUUUGAGAUGGUCUUCCAAUUCUAGCCACUAGAUUCUGUGUCAAUUUCUCUCUGAGAGGAUUUUCAGAAAUUGGAAUGCGUAGUCGUAGAAUGGGGACCAUAACCCAAUUUAUAAACCGCUAGGGCAGUUUUAAUUUUAUCACAAUUAUAUUUCUGCCCCUCAUAGAAAUGAUAAUUGUCUAAUGGUAUCUACACAAUAAUCUCAUGACAAUUAUACCCUUAAGCCAAUUAAUCAAUUAUUAAUUAGAUCACUAUAUUUAGGCUUAAUUAAAUGAUAGCACACACAUUUUAAUUAUUUACAUGUGUGACCCAAAUUAUAGAUUAAUUACAAAAAUUAAUCUAACAUAAUCUUCUUCCACAGCCCUUCUAGAUCAUCUCUGGAUAUGGGUUUCUGUACGUAGUCUGACUUCCUCUUUAAGAAGUUCACUGAGUCUGAAGUCCGGUUAAGCAGCACAUCCACCGAUGUUCCAUUAUCGAAAUUAGCCCAGUAGAGGACUGAUUCAAUCCAGCUCAUUUCCAUGCAGUCCUCUUUCUUUAACCCUAAUUCUGGGAAAUCCUUGUUCAUCACUGAAAUGAGACGGGUCGAGUCUCCAAGAAACAGUGAUAUGAAGGUUACCCUAACAGUCUUGGCGGAUCCAUUGUCGCUCUUCACCGUGAUAGGUUGGAGGAGAAGCCUCGUGAAAAGAUCAUUAUCGAUCUUGUCAGUGAUGUGCUGCCAUUGAUAGACUAUGUCAGUGGCGUUUUGGGCCAAGGUCUUCUCGACCCGAAAAACUGUAACAAUUUCAGGAACUCGGACAAGCUUGACCUUAUAUGACAAUAUGACUCCAAAGCUAGCUCCACCACCUCCUCUAAUGGCCCAAAAGAGGUCUUCUCCCAUGGAUUUUCGAUCGAGAAUGUAGCCAUUAACAUUGACUAUCUGGGCAUCCACAAUAUGAUCAAUAGAGAGUCCAUAUCUUCGCAACAUAUUUCCGUAGCCUCCACCACUCAAGUGCCCACCGACACCAACAGUAGGGCAAACCCCGGCUGGAAAUCCAUGUACUCUGCUUUUCUCCCAAAUUUUAUAGUAGAGUUCUCCUAGGGUUGCACCCGCUUGAACCCAAGCAGUUUCAUCAGUGAUAUUCACGUUGACGGACCGAAGAUUGAACAUAUCGAGGAUGAAAAAUGGGACAUCAGAGACAUAAGAUAGGCCAUCGUAGUCGUGGCCACCGCUUCGGAUUCUCAGCUGUAUUCCAAUGCGUCUAGAGCAAAUUAUGGCAGCCUGGACUUGGGAUUCAUCCGAGGGGGUGACAAUGAUCAAGGGUUUUGGCGUGGAAAAUGCGUUGAAUCGCUGGUUUCGGAUAUAAGAUUGAAGAGCAUUUGUGAAUGAAGAAUUUGUUUGGGCAUAGACUAUUGAUGAAGCUUGGUCAAAUGGGGAUGAAUAUUUUGAUAGGCACUGAACAAAGUUUUCAUAUAUUGAAUCUGAAGUUGCAGAUGAUGAAAUAAUGAGAAAACCAAGAAGGAGAAGCAGCAGCAGCCCAAAGGAAGCCCUUGACAUCUCCAUUUUUUCAGUUUUCCUGUGGUCCUCAAGGGACGUUUUAUUUUUUAUGUAUUUAAUUUAAUUUAUUAUUAUUAUUUGCCUUAUAUAAAUAUAAUUUAUAAAUGGACUCCAUGUAACUUCAUAACUCUCGCGUCAUGUUAUGACAAAAGAUAAAAUAAUUUAUGAAAUAAGUUUUCAAAUUAGAAAUAUAAUUUUUUUCCUUCUUAUUUGUCUUUUUAUAAAAUAAUUUGAUUAUAUAAAUAAAUAAAUAAUGGAUGCAUUUUUUUUUCUUAUAAAAGAGUAAGAGUUUGUUUAGUAAUGAUUUUAGAAAAUAUUUUUAAUAAUUUAAAAUUUUUAUCAUUCAAGUGUAAGAAAUACUAUAAACGAUUUCUAAAAUCACUCUCAAACGUAUUCUAAUUUUUCGUUUUUAAAUUAAUCCAUUUUAAUAAAUAAUCUUUUUUAUUACCCGAUAAUUUUUAUACAUCCUUUAUUUAUGCUUUUAUCCUUAUCCCUUUCUUCCUUUAUUCCUUUUUACAUAUAUUCCAAAAUUAAAAAAGAAGUGGUAAAAGACUAAAAGUUCUCCAUCCACCCAUCAUGAAUAGUACACAUGUGAUAUGAUAGACUUGAUAAGACAACCACCUUGUAUUAAUAUUGGUUCCUCAACAGAUGGCAACCUCAUUUUCACUUGUUUUACAUGAAAUGAAAAUCCAUGAAUUUUGAUUUUUAUUAAGGCUAAUGAGGUAUUUGGAUCCAAGUUUUGGUUGAAAGAAAAUAGAGAAGGAUCAGUCUAUUCUCCAUUUUCUUCAUUUUCUUUAAUAAAAAUUGGAGGAGAAAUAUUUUAAUAUUUUUCUUAUAUUUUUCAUAGUAUUAUUUGUCGCAUAUUAUUUAAUGAUAUAUAAAAAUAAAAAUAAUAAAAUUUUAAACAUUUUUUUCCUUAAAAGGAAAACUUUUUAAGAACAAAAAAGUAACCUAAUUAACUUUAUCGUAUUUAUAAUGUUUAGAGUAAGUUCCCAUAUAAGAUAGCCUAAAUUAAUUUUAAAUUAAUUAUUGCGAUCUAUAAAUAAGUAUUUCUAAUUUAGACAUUUUCUUCGUUAAUUGAAAAUACAGAUUUUGGGCAUAUUUUCAAAUUAGGGAUUUUCUUCUUGUUUUAAGAGAAAUUUGUUAUUAUUGAUAUUAAGACAUAUCCAAAUGGGUUUAGUAUUUAAUAUGUUACAAUUUUAUUUAUUUAUUUAUUUUUUAAUUUGAUAGGAAAAUGUGAAAAACCGAAAGGUUGAUAAUUUUAAGAGAAACUAUAUUACUAUUGUAAAAUCGAUAAAUAUAAUAACGGACCAACAAUUAUAGAAUGGUCUUUAUGAAUUCUAAAAGAUUUAUAUACCAAAAUUGAGAAAGAAUAUAUUUUUUAUUCUUUUUUUUUUAUGAUUUUUAGAGAAAAUGGUUUUGGGUAUCUAAAAUUUAGGAAUUUCUUUUCAAUUUGAGCAGUCAAUAUUAAAAAAAAUGUGCAAAAUGCUUGGGAUAACCAAAGAUGGAUGUGGCAGCUAGUGUCAAAAAUUCAUUCUUUAAGCCUCCUUUGUAUAUUAUUGAAUACAUAUAACCCUACUUUAAGCUGCCCUUGCAAGAGGACUACUCUGGUGGCAAGAUCCUUGACAAAACAAGAGAUGGGGUGAAAUUCAAAAGACACAUGAUUGUCAUUAGCGAAUUUUGAAACACUAAGAAGGUUUUUGAUGAUUUCUGGAACAUAUAGGAGUUGCUUUUGAGGCAAGUGAAUUUGAAGGAACAAAUGGAGAUGAAAAUGAUGCAUGUCCAAUGUGGUGAAUAGAAAGGCCUUUACCAUUUCCUAAGACUUGAUCUAAUGUAAAGAAUCGUGUUUUGGUCAUGAGAUUGUUGAGGUUAGACAUAAGGUGAUUUGUUGCUCUAGAGUUUGGGUACCAAUUGGUGUCUUGUGAGAUUUCUAGUGUUGCAAGCUAUAUGGAUGGAGAAGAGAUUCCAAGGGAAAAUUGUGGAAGGUGAGCUAUGUUCCCUUAAGGACGAUACCCUUGAAAUUGUGAGGGUCUAAUGAAGGAUUAAUCAAAUUGAUAGUACCACUGUAUGACUACAUGACCCUUUCUCCCACAUAGUUGACAUUGAGAUUUGUUGUUUCCUUCAUAAGAACUUUUGUCAUGUUGUCCUCUUCCCGAUUGAGAGAAGUUUCCAUGGAAGUUUUGUCUUCUAUAUCCAAAAAAUUCGUGAGAUCUUGUUAAGUAUUGAAAUGCGUUUUGAUUUCCUUCAUGACGACAAGGCCAAUUCAUAAUUGAGUUACUAUAUCGAGAUCUUUGGUUAAAGUGUGAAGAAUCAUUGGUUGUAACUAAGUUGACUAAGAUAAGGUUGAAAUUUUUUUGAACUCUUGAUGCAAAAGUUCUCCAUCCACCCAUCAUGAAUAACACUCAUGUGCUAUACAUUAAAAGUAGGAAAAAGUGAAGCUUUAAUCAGCCUUGCUUUUGAGAAGAAAACUCCAAAGAGAAAGUUGAUAGACUUGAUAGACCAAGUAUCUUGCGUUAGUAUUGGUUCAGUGAUAAAGUUGUGGACCUCAACGGAUGACAACCUCAUAUUCACUUGCUUUUACAUGGAAUGAAAAUCCAUGAAUUUUGAUUUUUAUUAAGGCUAAUUAGGUUUUUAAAAAGUAUCAUUAUUUAGAUUAUAAUGUGAGAUUCGGUGACGCUUAUUUAGAAGCGUCAUCAUUUCACAAGGCUUGUUUAGGUAUUAUUUGGUAUGUAAUGGCACUUAUUCGAAGCGUCAUGGCAGUAAUCCCAUACCUUGGCGCUUUAAAGAAGCGUCAUUGAAUUUUGGGUAUAAAUAUUCCUCUCUAAAAUAUUGAUCCCCCUUCACGAUCUCUCACCCGCCAAACAUUCCCUCCACCGUUUCAAACCCUCAAAAUGCUCAUGCCAAAAUCAACCAGUGUCCAGGACCGAACGGGGAGCUAUAGGAGACUUAAUCUUUCUGACAUCCUUCUUUAUUCCCAAACCCUAACUUUCCCAAAAUCUCUACUGUCACUGUUCCGCGGAAACACCAUGGGCAACGACGCCAACUCUAACGACGAGUCGUCGCUUCUUGAAGAGCUUGGUAUCAAUAACCAGCAAAUCUGGAGCAAGAUGGUACUGAUUUUCAACCCUUUUCGUGUGAACCCGAAUCUUCACAAGGACACUGAUUUAUCGGGUCCAUUUUUGUUGUUGAUGAGUUUCGGAUUGUUUCAAUUGCUCACUGAGAAGAUACAUUUGGGAAUAAUCUUGGGUUGGGUUAUCGUAGCUGCUUUUGUUCUUAUAUGUGGUGUUCAACAUUUUGGUUGGGAGGAAUGGGAAUUUGGAUCUUUACAGGUGUGAUUAGGUAUUGUAUGCCAAAGAGAUUGAUCUGUUGUUUGUUGCAAUAAAGCGAGCUUCUAGUUUUUGAUUUAGCAGUUUUAAUUCAUCCAAUCAUUCUCCGGGUAAUUUUUUAUUGAAAAAUCUUAUGAGUUGAUGCAUAUUUUCAUUAUGACACUGCUUUUUUAAUGUUAAUCUUAUACGCCUAUUUGCAUCCCACUUUUUUUUUUUUUUCUUUCUUUUGUUCAGAUAACUUAACUUUGCUAACCUCCUAUUGGAUGCAAUCCUUUUAGUUUUCCUUUUAGGUGUAGGCCUCUUCCUUGGUGCUUUUUUCUUCUUUUUGAAGAUGAAGCCGGGAGUCUUUGAAUUUAAUUUAUUCCCUUUAGCUUUUUCAUAUCAUUCUUUCAAUCUUCAUGGAGGCUACUCAAGAACUGCAACUACAAACCAGAUGUUAGUUACUCGGUAUUUAGAUAGAAGACUCCCACAGCACUAUUAAGGAAGCAGCUCAAGUUCUCCAUGCAAUUGGUUUUUAAUUCAGCACAAUUUUUUUUUUUCAUAAAGCUGUUGAUGAAUCUAAGUUUGGACACAACCAUAUCAAUUUGGUAGGUUAGUUUCUAUUGCUCCUACUAAUCUAUUGAAUUGAUUAAAUAUAUUAAAUUAUUUUUGUGUUUCAAACCAGUUGAAAACAGAGAAAGAAGCUCACAAAGUGAUGCAAAAGUCAGUGGUAAUCAACCACAUCUUCCUAAACUCAUACACUACAAGUGGUGGUUUCUAGCGGUCAACUACACCCUCUUUCUUCUUACUGGCUAAUCUACAAUCACUCUCUUGGGAAGAUUGUUCUAUGACAAAGGCGAAAAUAGCAAAUGGAUGGACACAUUUGUUCAAUCAGCAAGGGAACUUCCCAAUCCUCAUUCCCCUCUUCCUUUUCUUCUCACCACCAGCCAAAUCCACGCCUUGUUGGCCUCUCAAAGGCUUCUUUUCAUAUAUAGUUUCAACAAGGUGCUUUUUCAAAAUGCAUUAAAGCCCCUCUUCUUUUUUUUUUGGUCCAAAAUUAUCUUUCCUUUAAUUUAGUAACGAUCUAUAUCUGUUCAUUACAAGUGGAAACAAUGUUAGACUUUCUGAUUAUAAUAUAUGUUGUCUUAGAAUUUUGAUUUAGUCAUAGUUGUUGUAUAUUCUACAAAAUGUUAUCAUUUAGAGUAUCAUGUAAUCAUUUUUUUUUUAAUUAUUUCUAAUUGGAAAAGGAAUCAUCAAGAAUUAGAGAUAUUUUCAUCAUGUUGUAGAUCCUAUAAGCCCAAGUGGUUAAUAAUAAGAAUUUGAGAAAUGGAAAAUGUUCUCUAUGGUAAAUGAUAUAGGUUUGUCUAUAGACAUUAAAACCUGCUAGUUCAUAUUGGUUCUUGUUUUCUUUCUUUCUUUCUUUUCUCUCUCAUAACUUACCCAAUACUGAUUACUGCCUAGCUUGACUGAAAGCUAAUAACAGUUUAUUUUAGUAGAUUUUAGUCUACACAACUCCUUUUGUAAUCCAUGUUCCUUUAGUUCCUUUCUUAAUUUUUUCAAUAUACAUGGAUGUGGAAACUUUUAUAUAUCAAUCAUUUACUAUAAUAAUAAUCAUGUAAAUUUGGUCCAUUUUCCCAUUCACUAUAAUUGAUUAACUUAGGAGCUGUAUGAAGAGGAAAAUGACAUGGAUCAGUGUCUGACAAUAAUAGGUAACAUCUGAUACAGGCUCUUGGUAUUAAAAUGACAAUACAUUGAAUAAUAGAGUUGUAGAAAAAGGUUCACUGGCUUGCCUCAUUUAAAUUAGUUGAAUGUCUGAAGAAUGCAUCAAUUGAAUGCAUUACUUUAAUAUUUCCGGAUCUUAACUCCAUUUUUAGGUUUUUUUUUUCUCUAGUCAUUCAAGUUUUGUACCUUCAUGAGUCUCUUAUGAGAUAUUUAUUUUAAAUGGUAUAUUCUGACUGUUGAAAACAAUAUCUCUAGUGAAACAAAGAUCUGAUGUUGUUAGAAUGAAGCCUAUCCUCUUAGAUGUUAGGUCAUUCAUUUUGGAGAUUAGAAGUGUAUACUAGUGAACCAGAUAUUUUGCUUCAAGGUAAGUUUUAUAUGCAUCAUUUUGAACUAUUAAUAAAUUCCAAUUUAUAAGUUUUAUAUAUUGUUGGUUUGUUUCUAAAUUGUCCUGCAAUUAGAAACAGAGUGUGAUUUCUAAUUUUUCUCCACUUACGAAAUUAGAAAACCUACCUAUAUCUUCAACAUGUAUAGAGGUCCCUUCAACAACAACCACCAACAUUAGAGGCUGUAAUCUCUAGUCUCUCAUAUUUGACACAUGUAACACGUGCCACCCUCUGGUUGGAAAUUGUGAGGGGAUCAAAAGUCUUUCCUGCAUAUUCACUUGCUGAAAGUAAAUAAAAGACGACAGAUAGUGGUAAUUUUUCAUUUUUGUUUACAAGCUGUGUCAGAUUAAAAUUAUUAGUUUGGUGUUUUUCUACCACCAUAUCAAAAUAGGCUUGCCUUAGACCUAUACGCAGAAGGAACCUCUAUGUUCCAUUUGUUUCUACUUUGGAUAGUAGUAGUCAGAAAUUGAGUAGUAAGAGUUUGAGUUCGCAGCGGUGCAGUAGGUUUGAUGCACAAUUGUGUGCAAUUCAAUGUGAUGAGAAUAUAGCUCCUUGUCUAUUGAUCUCUUACAUCCUAUUUCAUAUAUCAUUAUCCAAGUUUUGAAUUUGUGUUGUAGGAAAUUCACCAUCUAAGUUUCAAAUUCAUUCGGGAGAUUAUGUUGCUUUUCUAUAAUUUGUUAGAUGACAUAACUCCUUAUUGGAACCCAUUACUAAUUUUUGUGCUUAAAAAAUAUUAAUACUUGGGAGUUUCCCUUUGUCUCUUGCUUACCUUCAAAGGCAUGGACAGAAUGUCUGCUAGGUUUUCUAUUUAUUAGUAGCCACCAACCAUUCACCUCAACCCAGAUAGACAAUCUUUAGAGGACAAUUAUCUUAAGGCUUUGUUUGGUUCUUGGAAAGUACUAAGGAAAGAAAAAAAAAAAAUACCAAGGAAAAUUAUUUUCUCAUGUAAGAAAUAAUUGGCAAUCAACUUUACUUGUAUAUUACAACUGAGUUCUUAUUUGGUUAAUUUUUAUAUGUUGAAUUUAUAUAAAUAAAGAAGAAGAAUGGAUAUGUUGGUAUAUCCUCUGUUUUCGGCCAUUGGUGUUUGAGAAUGGUUUGAUGUUUUUUGGGAAAAGUGAAAACAAUUUUGGAAAAUUUGAUAUCCCAAUGAAAUAUAGUAGAGAAUAUUGAAUUAAAGACCAGACAUCAAUGAAUUGAGGACUCUAGGCAUCAAUGGAAUCUUAAUUUCUGUGUGUUUUCUUCUUACCUCAUCAAUGAAUUCCUCGCGUAAUUUUCUUGCAGUCCAUAAAGGUUCAAGUCUGCAAUUGUUUUGAUGAUUUCUGGAACAUAUAGGAGCUGCUUUUGAGGCAAGUGACUUGGAAGGAACAAAUGGAGAUGAAAAUGAUGUAUGUCCAAUUUGGUGAAUAGAAAGGCCCUUACCAUUUCCCACGAAGACUUGAUCUAAUGCAAAGAAUCGUGUUUUGGUCAUGAGAUUGUUGAGGUCAGACAUAAGGUGAUUUGUUGCUUUGGAGUUUGGGUACCAAUUGGUGUCUUGUGAGAUUUCUGGUGUUGCAAGCUAUGUGGAUGUAGAAGAGAUGCCAGGGGAGAAUUGUGGAAGGUGAGCUAUGUUCCCUUAAGGACGAUACCCUUGAAAUUGUGAGGGUCUAAUGAAGGAUUAAUCAAAUUGAUAGUACCACUGCAUGACUAGAUGACCCUUUCUCCCACAGAGUUGACAUUGGGGUUUGUUGUUUCCUUCACAAGAACUUCUGCCAUGUUGUCCUCUUCCCAAUUGAGAGAAGUUUCCAUGGAAGUUGUCUUCCAUAUCCAGAGAAUUCGUGAGAUCUUGUUAAGUACUGAGAUCUUUGGUUAAAGUGUGAAGAACCAUUGGUUGUGGCUAAGUUGACUCAGAUAGGGUUGGAAAAUUCUGAACUCUUGAUGCUUUUCUCAAUGCGACUUUCUUAAGCAAGGAGUGCUUCAAUUUCUUCAACAGUCAGUCUUUGAGCUUACAGAGAUAAUAAAAGUUUCAUAUUCUGGAGGAAGGCCUUCAAAGAUUGCAUCUAUAUGAUCUUUGGCAAAAAGGUUAUGGCCAACUAGGGCAAGAAUAUUUCUGAUAUUGACGAGGUAGUCAUUUACAAGUAGGUCUCCUUUCUUAGUGUUCUGCAGUUAAGUCUUUCAUUGGGUUACUUUGGCUCGUACUUGGGUGGCUAAAUACAGAUCAAAAGUUUUCCAUAUCUGGGCUGAAGUACCACAAUUCACCAUGCGUGUGAGAAUAGCAUCAGAUAUGGACAUAAGAAUCCAAGACAUGAUGAGUUGAUCUUGUUGUUCGUAGUCUAUAAACUCAGGGUUUAUGCGAUGUUGGGUUUCAUCAUCUUGACAUAGAAGUUUUAAGGGCAAGACUGAGUAAUUGGUGAGAAAAUGCUGCAGCUUGUGUCCUCUUAAUGUUGUCAAUACUUGUUUCCUCCAAACCAGAAAACUGUUGUUGUCCAAUUUGGAUGAGAUUGGGUGGGGAAAGGAGACAGGUAAAAAACUGGCGGUUCUUGAGAUGUCUCCCAUGGUGCACAUGGAAGAGAUUUCCAUGACUAAGACAGAACCUGCUUUGAUACCAUGUUGAAAAAGGAGAAAGAAUAGAAAGGAGAGGAUAGAUAUAUAUGAAAGAAGAAAGAUUGCAGGGAGCUUUUAAAAGGAACUAACCAUGCAUUAGAGGUAAGAUGUAGUUGUAACUAAUUCUCUCUAACAAUAUUAAAAUACGGAACUAAUGCUUUUAAAUGCACUUUUAAUAGAGAUGCUACUAGCAAAAGUAAUACAGAUGCUACUAGCAAGGGUAUGUAGAUAAAAAGUUCAACACGGGUAGGUAUACAUUAAGAGCUCUUUUGAUAAAAUUUCUCAAAUGGAAAUAGAAACAGAUAUAGGCUCUUGAGAAACAAUGACAUAGAGGUAUUAUCUAAUAAGGGCAAGAACCAUAUAUAUUGAUAAUAAGGAGCCAAAUUUAUUUCUCUAGUUAAGCAAUGACACAACUCAAAGCUUUCUUUCAAUCAAUGUCCCUUUGAUAUGGAAGAGGUGGGAUGCUUUGUUCAUACCUGAAAAAAUUCUGAGGGUCCACAGCAGUCUUCACUUUCACCAACCUGUCAAAAUUGUUCAUAAAGUACUUAACCCCAUAUACCUUACCUUCUUGGUAGCUAUCUUUACCAUUGUGGCUAAUACCAAUAUCAAUAUCUCUAUAGUUGAGAUAUGAACCUCUAGGGGACUUGGACACAAGUGGGGUCAUGUAGCUAUGAAGCUCUCUUAUCAAGUUCACAUACUUCUUGUCUGCUUCAGUCCCUUCUUCAUGCCAAUUCACUGAGUACUGGAUCUUGAAUAUGUUCCCAGCGCGAUGUGGGAAGGGGGUUUCAGAUGCGGGGAUUUCACUCAUUCGCCCUCCGUAUGAAUUGAACACCAUCCCUGGUUUGCCUAAUUCAAUCAUCUUCUUCCACAGCCCUUCUAGACCAUCCUUGGACAUGGGUUUCUGCAUGUAGUCUGACUUCG
rnacentral:lncRNA from 1 species